UUACGACCAGGGCUACACACGUGCUACAAUGGCAUAUACAAAGAGAAGCGACCUCGCGAGAGCAAGCGGACCUCAUAAAGUAUGUCGUAGUCCGGAUUGGAGUCUGCAACUCGACUCCAUGAAGUCGGAAUCGCUAGUAAUCGUAGAUCAGAAUGCUACGGUGAAUACGUUCCCGGGCCUUGUACACACCGCCCGUCACACCAUGGGAGUGGGUUGCAAAAGAAGUAGGUAGCUUAACCUUCGGGAGGGCGCUUACCACUUUGUGAUUCAUGACUGGGGUGAAGUCGUAACAAGGUAACCGUAGGGGAACCUGCGGUUGGAUCCACCUCAUAAA
rnacentral:rRNA from 1 species